rnacentral:rRNA from 1 species
GAUGAACGCUGGCGGCGUGCUAACACAUGCAAGUCGAACGAAGCACUUUUAUUUGAUUUCUUCGGAAUGAAGAUUUUAGUGACUGAGUGGCGGACGGGUGAGUAACGCGUGGGUAACCUGCCUCAUACAGGGGGAUAACAGUUGGAAAUGACUGCUAAUACCGCAUAAGACCACAGUACCGCAUGGUGCAGGGGUAAAAACUCCGGUGGUAUGAGAUGGACCCGCGUCUGAUUAGGUAGUUGGUGGGGUAACGGCCUACCAAGCCGACGAUCAGUAGCCGACCUGAGAGGGUGACCGGCCACAUUGGGACUGAGACACGGCCCAA